AUUGAACGCUGGCGGCAUGCUUUACACAUGCAAGUCGAACGGUAACAGGCCGCAAGGUGCUGACGAGUGGCGAACGGGUGAGUAAUGCAUCGGAACGUGCCCAGUCGUGGGGGAUAACGCAGCGAAAGCUGUGCUAAUACCGCAUACGAUCUGUGGAUGAAAGCGGGGGACCGUAAGGCCUCGCGCGAUUGGAGCGGCCGAUGUCAGAUUAGGUAGUUGGUGGGGUAAAGGCUCACCAAGCCGACGAUCUGUAGCUGGUCUGAGAGGACGACCAGCCACACUGGGACUGAGACACGGCCCAGACUCCUACGGGAGGCAGCAGUGGGGAAUUUUGGACAAUGGGCGCAAGCCUGAUCCAGCAAUGCCGCGUGCAGGAAGAAGGCCUUCGGGUUGUAAACUGCUUUUGUACGGAGCGAAAAGGCUCUCUCUAAUACAGGGGGCUCAUGACGGUACCGUAAGAAUAAGCACCGGCUAACUACGUGCCAGCCGCCGCGGUAAAAC
rnacentral:rRNA from 1 species